rnacentral:rRNA from 1 species
UUAAGAAUUGACGGGGGCCCGCACAAGCGGUGGAGCAUGUGGUUUAAUUCGACGAUACGCGAAGAACCUUACCCGGGUUUGACAUUGUAUCGAAGCAUCCAGAGAUGGAUGUGUCUCUUCGGAGACGGUAUGACAGGUGGUGCAUGGUUGUCGUCAGCUCGUGUCGUGAGAUGUUGGGUUAAGUCCCGCAACGAGCGCAACCCUUGUGUUUUAGUUGCAAACAGGUCAAGCUGUGCACUCUAGACAGACUGCCGUGGACAACACGGAGGAAGGUGGGGAUGACGUCAAAUCAUCAUGCCCCUUAUGAUCUGGGCUACACACGUGCUACAAUGGCCGGUACAACGGGCAGCGAAGGAGCGAUCCGGAGCGAAUCCUAAAAAGCCGGUCCCAGUUCGGACUGCAGGCUGAAACUCGCCUACAUGAAGUUGGAGUUGCUAGUAAUCGCGAAUCAGAAUGUCGCGGUGAAUGCGUUCCCGGGUCUU